AGCAGUCUACCGAAGCUGUGGAAUAAAUGAUUUUUAAUCAUGUAUUGGUAGGGGAGCGUUCCGCAACGGUGUGAAGCACUAGCGACAAGCAGGUGUGGACUGUGCGGAAGUGAGAAUGCCGGUAUGAGUAGACGAAAGACAGGUGAGAAUCCUGUCCACCGUAAGACGUAAGGUUCCGAGGGGAAGGCUCGUCCGCCCUGGGUUAGUCGGGACCUAAGGAGAGACCGAAAGGUGUAUCCGAUGUCGACGCGGCCGCGAAUUACUGUGAUAUUUCUCAUGGUCGACGCGGCCG
rnacentral:rRNA from 1 species